rnacentral:rRNA from 1 species
ACAUGCCUAUAGCAUAGCGUUAAUGCAUCUGAUCCCAUUAGAAAUCCGUAGUUAAGUGCGCUUAGGAUAGAGUAGCACUGGGAUGGGUGACCACUUAGGAAGUCCUAGUGUUUUACAUGUG